rnacentral:tRNA from 1 species
AAAAAUGAUACUUAUUACUUACAAUAAUAAUAACCUUUUUAGGCAUUUUUA